GUGGUCUCUGCGCAGUGCGUCGUGUGGGGCGGCCGACCCCGGCCCGGGUUUCCCUGCUCGUUUUCGUCCGGGCGGGCGUCUUGGUUCCCGUUCCAGGCCAGCCCCAUCCUAGGUCGCUGCUUCAUCCAGCGCUUGGGGCAUUUGUGUCGUUGGCGUUGUUUUCCUCUUAACUACAAACUUUAAAUGUGUUCAUCUACUCGUGACGGCGAGUUUAGCAGACUUUCAUUCCCAGAAGACGUGUCACACGAUCUGUAUAUUUUUCAUACAGAAAUUGACGGACGUCGUUACUUCUAAAUUUCCACAGGGGCUGGUUCAUCCCGCGGCUUUACCUAGAGAAAAACGUCUGAGGCCGGGCGCGGCGGCUCCCGCCUGUAAUCCCAACACUUUGGGAGGCCGAGGCGGGCGAAUCACGAGGUCAGGAGUUCGAGACCAGACUGGCCAACAUGGUGAAACCUCGUCUCUACUAAAAAUACAAAAAAAAAAAAAAAAAAAAAAAAAAAAAAAAAUAGCCGGGCGUGGCGGCGCAUGCCUGUAAUCCCAGCUACUCAGGAGGCUGAGGCAGGAGAAUCGCUUGAACCCGAGAUGGUGCCACUGCACUCCAGCAUGGGCGAUAGAGCGAGACUCCGUCUCAAAAAAUAAUAAUAAAAUAAAAACCAUGGACAAUGGGAGGAGAACAUCACACACCGGGGCCUGUCGGGGGUGGGGGGCCAGGGGAGGGAUAGCAUCAGGAGAAAUACGUAAUGUAGAUAACUGGUUGAUGGGUGCAGCAAACCACCAUGGCACGUGUAUACCUAUGUAACAAACCUGCAGGUUCUGCACAUGUACCCCAGAACUUAAAGUAUAAUUUUAAAAAGAGAGAGAGAAGCGUCUGAGCGUUUCUCAGGGACGGCGGGUGGCAGCCAGGACGGGCUGGGGCGGUGAAGUGCGGGGCGGGAAGCGACGCGUGCGCCUCCUGCGCUGGCUUCUGUGAAAGGAGGGACUGAUUGGAGAUCACUGCUGAAAAGUGGACUACGCAUCAGUGAAUAGUUAGUGAAAUAUGAGCUUCUACAUUCAAAACCAUUUGUGCUUUAAAGAUUUUGUUUCACCAUGGUAUCGUAUUUAUCUGAAUCCUAUGUUGCUUUUGCUUUGUAAUCUGAAUUGUCUGUCACUCCCCCAGUCUCAGUUUUUUGUUAACUGUUCAAUAUUCAUAGAAAUGUCUCUACAUGGGACCCUUUAACAGAGAGAGUAAUCUGUCAUAGCAAGUAUUUCCUGA
rnacentral:lncRNA from 1 species